GAUGAACGCUAGCUACAGGCUUAACACAUGCAAGUCGAGGGGAAACGACAUCGAAAGCUUGCUUUUGAUGGGCGUCGACCGGCGCACGGGUGAGUAACGCGUAUCCAACCUGCCCACCACUUGGGGAUAACCUUGCGAAAGUAAGACUAAUACCCAAUGAUAUCCCACGAAGGCAUCCGAAUGGGAUUAAAGAUUUAUCGGUGAUGGAUGGGGAUGCGUCUGAUUAGCUUGUUGGCGGGGUAACGGCCCACCAAGGCAACGAUCGAGUAGGGGUUCUGAGAGGAAGGUCCCCCACAUUGGGACUGAGAUACGGCCCAGACUCCUACGGGAGGCAGCAGUGGGAAUAUUGGGCAAUGGACGCAAGUCUGACCCAGCAACGCCGCGUGAAGGAAGAAGGCUUUCGGGCGUAAACUUCUUUUGAUGUGAGCAAUAAGGUCCACGUGUGGACCGAUGAGAGUAGCAUACGAAUAAGCAUCGGCUAACNCCGUGCCAGCAGCCG
rnacentral:rRNA from 1 species